GUGAAAUGCGUAGAGAUGUGGAGGAAUACCAGUGGCGAAGGCGCCUGACUGGACGAAACCUGACGCUGAGGCGCGAAGGCGUGGGGAGCAAACAGGAUUAGAUACCCGUGGUAGUCCACGCGGUAAACGAUGAGUGCUAGGUGUCGGAGGGUACCACCUCCGGUGCCGAAGGAAACCCAAUAAGCACUCCGCCUGGGGAGUACGGUCGCAAGACUGAAACUCAAAGGAAUUGACGGGGGCCCGCACAAGCAGUGGAGCAUGUGGUUUAAUUCGAAGCAACGCGAAGAACCUUACCAGGGCUUGACAUCGGUCUGAUGGGUGUAGAGAUACAUCGUUCCUUCGGGACAGACUAGACAGGUGGUGCAUGGUUGUCGUCAGCUCGUGUCGUGAGAUGUUGGGUUAAGUCCCGCAACGAGCGCAACCCUUGAUCUGUGUUACCAGCGCGUGAAGGCGGGGACUCACAGAUGACUGCCGGUGACAAACCGGAGGAAGGCGGGGAUGACGUCAAAUCAUCAUGCCCCUUAUGUCCUGGGCUACACACGUGCUACAAUGGGCGGUACAAAGGGAAGYGAAGUCGCGAGGCGGAGCAGACCCCAGAAAGCCGUUCGUAGUUCGGAUUGCAGGCUGCAACUCGCCUGCAUGAAGCCGGAAUUGCUAGUAAUCGCGGAUCAGCAUGCCGCGGUGAAUACGUUCCCGGGCCUUGUACACMCCGCCCGUCACACCACGAGAGUGGGUAACACCCGAAGUCGGUGAGGUAACCCGCAAGGGGGCCAGCCGCCGAAGGUGGGAUUCGCGAUUGGGGUGAAGUCGUAACAAGGUAACCGU
rnacentral:rRNA from 1 species